GGCAUUGUGGUUUAGUUGGUUAAAGCACCUGUCUUGUAAACAGGAGAUCCUGGGUUCGAAUCCCAGCAGUGUCA